rnacentral:rRNA from 1 species
UGCCCUAGUAACGGCGAGUGAAGCGGCAACAGCUCAAAUUUGAAAGCUAGCCUUCGGGUUCGCAUUGUAAUUUGUAGAGGAUGCUUUGGGUAAAACGCCAGUCUAAGUUCCUUGGAACAGGACGUCAUAGAGGGUGAGAAUCCCGUAUGUGACUGGAAAUGUUAACCUAUGUAAAGCUCCUUCGACGAGUCGAGUUGUUUGGGAAUGCAGCUCUAAAUGGGAGGUAAAUUUCUUCUAAAGCUAAAUAUUGGCGAGAGACCGAUAGCGCACAAGUAGAGUGAUCGAAAGAUGAAAAGCACUUUGGAAAGAGAGUUAAAAAGCACGUGAAAUUGUUGAAAGGGAAGCGCUUGCAAUCAGACUUGUUUAAACUGUUCGGCCGGUCUUCUGACCGGUUUACUCAGUUUGGACAGGCCAGCAUCAGUUUCGGCGGCCGGAUAAAGGCUCUGGGAAUGUGGCCUCCACUUCGGUGGAGGUGUUAUAGCCCAGUGUGUAAUACGGCCAGCCGGGACUGAGGUCCGCGCUUCGGCUAGGAUGCUGGCGUAAUGGUUGUAAGCGACCCGUCUUGAAACACGGACCAAGGAGUCUAACAUCUAUGCGAGUGUUCGGGUGUCAAACCCCUGCGCGUAAUGAAAGUGAACGGAGGUGGGAACCGCAAGGUGCACCAUCGACCGAUCCUGAUGUCUUCGGA